UACGGAGGGGGCUAGCGUUGUUCGGAAUUACUGGGCGUAAAGCGCACGUAGGCGGCUUUGUAAGUUAGAGGUGAAAGCCCAGGGCUCAACCCUGGAAUUGCCUUUAAGACUGCAUCGCUUGAACAUCGGAGAGGUAAGUGGAAUUACGAGUGUAGAGGUGAAAUUCGUAGAUAUUCGGAAGAACACCAGUGGCGAAGGCGACUUACUGGACGAUUGUUGACGCUGAGGUGCGAAAGCGUGGGGAGCAAACAGG
rnacentral:rRNA from 1 species